GAAUUACACCCUUUUCACUACUAGGCUUAUAAAGGGAGAAUUAUGGGGCACUGCUAUUGAUUCCGAAAUGUUGUGAAGCAGCUCUCCUGCUUGCCCAUCAAAGAUACAAUGAGUGUAGCGAGGCAUAGAUCCUGGUGCUUGGAUGUGAUACAAAAGCUUGACAAGCUUCUUGAGCCUUGAAAUAAUAUUGGAGUUGCACUAGGGAAAAUAUACCAGGCAACGGACCUAGAUAAUUUGUCCUGGUGUUAAAUAUGGAGGAGUGUAGGGCUGACAGUUCGCGGCUGGUUCACCACUUCGCCACAAGCAAAGGGCCCUCAUCAGUAAGUAGGAGAACAAUAGACAUGGUGAGCUGAUUGGCGAUGCUGCUGUGUUCUCUUGCUCCCUCUGCUCUGAUCAGAUUUAUGUGAUUCUGAGCUUGUUCGGCUGGCAGACCGAUGCUCAGCCCCUGUCCGAGGUGCUGGUGACGGACUUGUUGCUCGAGUCUCGUGUGCGCUGUCGGUUAAUCUACCUAUCAUUUUGUUAGCUCUUGGUUCCAGUUAGAGUGUCACACAGGUUCAAUCAUCUCCUGUAUCCAAGGUAACUUGGAUAUGGGAUGUCACGUUUGGUUGAGGGCAUCAUGGACCUACAUACGCAGCCAAAUACUCGUGUCCACUCUCUGAGCUUUCGCUGACAUUCUGAAAGGAGUAAAAUAUAUGGCGGGUUACUGUACUUAUCGGCGUGACACAAGGAGGUCACUGUACACCCAUAAUACGCUGUUACGGUCAGUAAUCUUGUUUUGGCCUGUCGCAGACGGUCACCGCCGCGUGUAGAGAGAUGUAUGGGCUUACGUGGCGCGCGCGGGGCCCAUCUGCCAGUCCGAUUGAAUGGGCAAGUUGAAAGGGGCAAACAGAGGAGGGAGUUUUCUACAAAACUGUCAGCCACUCUUCCCCACCCUUCUCCACCCUUUGACUCUUCCCCACCCUUCUCUCUGCCCUCCGCCAGAAGAGCUCCGCCGCCGCCAUAAGAGCUCGUCGGAGAGGUUGUUCGUCCGAGAGCGUCGUCGGCAUGAAGAGCUCGAGCUCGUGCAGUAGUGCGCUCCGCCGCAGGGCCCCGUACAUUUCACUCAUCCCCUGCCCCUACUGCGGUCGGAUGGUGAAGCGCAGCGUGUCGGGGACGGCGGAGCACACCGGCUGGACGUAUUUCAAGUGCGAGGACCAUGGGAAAGGUUGCAUUUUCUGGAAUUGGGAAUUAGAGUACGUCCAGUACUUGAUUGAGAUGGACAAUCUAGGGGAGAUGCUGGUAUGGAUGCACUUGGGUGGGCUGAAGACAGGAGGGAGGAGCUGAACCAGAGACAAGCCGAGAGGGAAGCAUCUAUCCAUGGUGGACCUGGAGCAAAGGAGGAGAAAGUUAUGAAGGUCAUAGAAGCACUGGUACAGAAGUAGAAACUGUGGUUUUGCUCUUGAAGAUUGUAAUUGUCGUGGUUGCAUUGUUGUGUGUCGUGAUCAUGCUGAAGAAAUGAGAAGUGUUAGCUGCCAGUGAAAAAUGUUACUGAUGAUGUGGUGUUGAGUUUAGUUUGGAUUAAUGUUUAGUUAGCUAGAUGCUGCAAGUGUAUCGUAUAUGAAUGUAAUGGGUCAAUGCUACUGAUGAUCUUAAUUAGGAUGUCGAAAGUUUGUUUAAAUUUGGGAUGUCGAAAAUGUUAUCAAAAGUUUAUUUAAA